UUUGCCUGCGCUUACCAAGGUGUGAUAAUAAAGGAGUUUUACCCAGAGAAGUCUGAAGACACACAUGCAAGAUUUGCAGGAGGGAAAGAGAGUCCCCCUGCCCUUUGCUGUUGUAUGAGCUGGUGACUUGGGUAUCAAUACAAGUGACUGGGCCACCACCCAAGCGGCAGCAUCCUCUUCCCUGCAAGGAAAAAGGAGGAUUCCCACCCCAUCUUAUCUUGACUGGCUCUUUGCUCCCUUCGUUCGCUCCUAAGUAUGCUUGGAGUGGUGUUCAUUUGACAGAAUCCAUGUGGCUCUGCUUCAUCUUGCCAUCUAAUAGACCUGCAGCUCACUGGGGCAUCAGCAAUGGAGAAACACCACAAAAGGAGGAAACGUGAUGCCACAAAACCCUCUGUAUUUUCCAAUGCAUUGCAAGUAUGCAAACACCUGUGGUAAUCUAUUAAAGGGGACAUGGAAGGGGAAAAUCCUCAGCUUCAACUCACAUGACCCAUUUCCCUGACAUUGAGGUCAGUUUACUGAUUUCAUCACCCCUUUAAGAUGAAUGAAGAGUGAAAGGAAAAAUACUGGAUGUGACAGAGACUCGGCAGUGGCGCUGGCUCCCUCCCCAGAGCGUGCUCACACCUCGGGGGGCUUUGCGGGCCUCCACGGGAACCUGCGUCCUCGUAAAAAGAGGGGUGUGAGGAGAACUAAGCCCCCAGGAAGCAAGAAACCCCCUUUUAUGGGAAACAGGGGAUGUCCCCAAAGUGAGGACACCAUUUUAUGUGUUUAUUUAUUUAAUAAGUAAAUAAAACUGCC
rnacentral:lncRNA from 14 species